GUCACCACUGGCAGCGGGGCCAUUCAUGGGCAAUGAGUCAGCAACUCUGACAGCACUAAAUACAGUCACCGGUUAAUGCGCGAGAUAACAGGCUCACAUGCUCCUUCAGAAAGUGCUGCUUUGUAGAAAAGAUGUUGCAGGAAACUGAAGAGACUCCCUAUUUACUUCAAUAAUAUUCAUUGGGUGUGCUUGUUCAAAGUCCUGACCAAGGAACCCCUCUCCAUUUCUGGUGUUGAUACAACUCUUCCAACCACCUGUUCUUCUAGCUACAAAAACAUGCAUUGUGAGUCAAUAGGAAGGAGUGAGCCCAGCUGACACCAGGAGCAUAGGUGAGCAGAACUUAUCAUGGACUUGGGCAGUCAUGGGAAAUCAUUUCACCGGGACUUUUGGUAAACCUGAAUUUUUUGGACUUUGAGCCUACACUGGCAGGGUUAUCAAGUUAUGCAGCUCCAAUGUAUUCCAUAUGAAUGGUGCCCUGGGAGAUCUGCCCCAUGGUGGUGUCAUAUGCCUGAACACAUAGCCAUGUUCAUUAUCCCAAGGUAUUUCUUUGAAAAAAACCUUUUAUAUUUUUAAGAGAGUCUGAUGUUACCCACAUGUAUUAAGUUUCUUCAGAGAGACAGAACCAAUAGGGUAUAUAAAGAUAAAGAUAUACACAGAUAUAGAUAUAUGGGAGAGGAUCUACUAAACAAAUUGGCACACAUGAUUAUGGAGGCUGAGAAGUUCCAUGACAUGUCAUCUGCAAGCCACAGACCUUGGGAUGCUGGUAACAAGGCUCAGCCCAAUCUGAAGGCUUCAGAACCAUGGGAGCCAAUGGUGUAACUCUACUCUGUGGCCAAAAGUCUGAGAAGAGGAGUGGAGAGGGGGAUGAGGAAUAGUGUAAGUCCAAAAGCUAGGGAGCCUGGAGUUGUUGUCCAAGGACAAGAGAGGAAGAGUAUACCCCAGCUCCAGCACAUACAUCAACAUAUUCACCUUGUCUCUGUUGUUGUUCUCUCUUGGCUGCUAGCAGAUUACAAGGUGCCUGCCUGCAUUGAGGGCAGAUCUUCCACACCCAGUCUACUAAUGCUAAUCUUCUCUGGAAACAGUCUCACAGAAACGUCCCAAAAUAGUGCUUUAUCAGGUUUCUACAUAUUCCUUAAUCCAGUCAAGUUGACACUUCAAAUUAACUAUCUCACUGUCAUGUAAACCAAACCGUAGCACUUUUUACUAAACCAGUGUGGUCUAUGGAUAACAAUUCAAGUUGUUCUUCUGAUGGUAAAUCAUACUAGUUUAAAUCAUGAGUUAGAUAUGUAGGGGGCUUCCAAUCUCUCCAUUUCCCUACUUUACUAGGGUUUCAUUGACAAAUAAAAAUUGCAUAUGUUUAUAGUGUACAAUGUGAUGUUUUGAUAUAUGUAUACAUUGUUAUAUGAUUAAGUCAAGCUAAUUAGCAUAUAUUGCCUCACAUACUUGUUUUUUUUGUGAUGAGAACAUUUAGGAGUUACUCUCUUAGCAAUUUUCAAGUAUACAUUUUUAGUAACUAUAGUCACCAAUAGAUCUCCAAAAAUUACUCUUCCUAAUUGAAAUUUUGUAUCCUUUGGCCAAUAUCUCCCAAUUCCUCCCCUCUGCCCAUCCCUUACAACCACUGUCCUACUCUCUGCUUCUAUGAGUUCAACUUUGUCUUUAUUAUUUGACAAAUAUAAAUUUUAUAUUAUGUACAUGUUGUUUUGAAAUACGUAUACAUUGUGGAAUAGUUAAAUUGAGAUCAUUAUCAUAUACAUUACUUCAUAUACUUAUUAUAAUGAAUACCUAAUAUCUACUCCCUUAUCAAUUUUCAAGAAUAUAAUAUACUGUUAUUAACUAUAGUUACUAUGAUGUACAAUAGAGCUGUUGAACUUAUUCCUCCUUUCUAACUGAAAUGUAUCCUUAGACCAACAUCUCCCCAAUCUCUUCCCCAGUCCUUUGUAACUACUGUCCUAUUCUCACUGGUUCUAUAAACCACUGAGAGUUUAUAGAAACUUCCAGUUUCUAUAAAUUCAACUUUUUCAGAUUCCAUAUGUGAGAUCAGGUAGUGUUUGCCUUUCUGUGCCUGGCUUAUUUCACUUAACAUGAUGUCCUUCAAGUUCAUCCACGUUGUUACAUAUGACAGAAUUUCCUUCUGUAUUAAGGCUAUAUAGUAGAUAUUGCAGAUAUUUACCACAUUUAUCCAUUCAUCCAUCCACUGAUGGACACUUAGGUUGAUUCCAUAUCUUGACUAUUGUGAAUAAUGAACACUACAUUGAACUUGGGAGUGGGCCAGCUCUAUUUAAUAAGAAGCAUUACCAAUUCCCACAGAAUUUAGUUUUUUUAAAAAUAUCUUCUGCAGGAUACACACUAUAUAUAUAUUAGUUAUAUAUAUAUAACAUAUAUUUAAUACAUAAUAUUGGUAAUAUACAAGAUAUACAUAGAUAUGGCAGAUACAUGUAUGUAUAUAUAACAUAUUUAUUUAUAAUAUAUAUAUUUUUAAAUAUGAUGUUCCUUAAGAAAUCAUGUGUCAAAUACUAUGUAGAACUGAGAGAAGAUUUUUCUAGAUCGAAGGCUCACAUUGUAUCUACCAAUUUUCCCCUGAUUAAAAAAAAGCACUUGAAAUUUGCAAUAAAUCGCUGUUUUUAAUAGUAUUUUAUGCAAUAGCUCCCAAAGCAAUUCAGUUACUCCAAAUACAUUUUUUUUAAUUAGAAAAAAUUUUUAACUAUGCAAUGUACAUUUUGGUUUGUAAUAAGUGAUAUGGUUUAGAUCUGUGUCCUCACCCAAAUCUCAUGUUGAAAUGGGAUCUUCAAUGUUGGAGGUGAGGCCUGGUGGGAGGUGAUUGGAUCAUGGGGGUGGUUUCUCAUGAAUGGUUUAGCACCAUCCUCCUCAUGCUGUUCUUCUGAGAUCUGGUUGUUUAAAAGUAUAAAGCACCUCCCUGCUUUCUCUAUUCUUCCUUCUAAGGACAUGUGAAAUGUGCCUUCUUCCCCAUCACUUUCUAACAUAAUAGUAACUUUCCUGAGGAUUCCCCAGAAGCAGAAGCUCUAAGCUUCCUGUAUAUCCUGCAGAACUGUGAGCUAAUUAAAGAUUUUUCCUUUAUAUGUUACCCAAUCUCAAGUAUAUCUUUGUACAA